rnacentral:rRNA from 1 species
AAAAGGUGGCUAUGCUACCGCUUUUGGAUGGGCCCGCGGCGCAUUAGCUAGUUGGUGGGGUAAAGGCUUACCAAGGCAAUGAUGCGUAGCCGAACUGAGAGGUUGAUCGGCCACAUUGGGACUGAGACACGGCCCAAACUCCUACGGGAGGCAGCAGUAGGGAAUCUUCCACAAUGGGCGAAAGCCUGAUGGAGCAACGCCGCGUGGGUGAAGAAGGUCUUCGGAUCGUGAAACCCUGUUGUUAGAGAAGAAAGUGCGUGAGAGUAACUGUUCACGUUUCGACGGUAUCUAACCAGAAAGCCACGGCUAACUACGUGCCAGCAGCCGCGGUAAUACGUAGGUGGCAAGCGUUAUCCGGAUUUAUUGGGCGUAAAGGGAACGCAGGCGGUCUUUUAAGUCUGAUGUGAAAGCCUUCGGCUUAACCGGAGUAGUGCAUUGGAAACUGGGAGACUUGAGUGCAGAAGGGGAGAGUGGAACUCCAUGUGUAGCGGUGAAAUGCGUAGAUAUAUGGAAGAACACCAGUGGCGAAAGCGGCUCUCUGGUCUGUAACUGACGCUGAGGUUCGAAAGCGUGGGUAGCAAACAGGAUUAGAUACCCUGGUAGUCCACGCCGUAAACGAUGAAUGCUAAGUGUUGGAGGGUUUCCGCCCUUCA